GCCUAAAUUGGACAUAUUUUCGUCAGUCCGGCUAUUUUGUUUCAUUUGAUGAAUUGACAUGGGUGAAUGCACAGCAAAAAUGUUCCCGAAAUGGCAGUACGUUAGUAGAAAUUGAAACGCAAGAAGAGAAUAAUUUCAUUAUGAGCAUUCUUAAGCCGGACCAGAGAGAAGACAACACUCUAUGGAUCGGUGCUACAGAUAUGGUGACAGAGGGGAAAUUCUUAUGGAAUUCCACAGGACAACCCUUAACAUUUAGCAAUUGGAGAGAAAAUGAACCAAAUAAUUUCGAUAACAUUGAAGACUGUGCUUCUUUAUAUGCUAGUGAAAAUAGGAUAGGUCAAUGGAAUGACCGCCCUUGUUUCCGGAUUACUAAAUAUAUAUGUGAAAUGAAAAUUACUUAAGGAGGCCGAUUGGGGUUUUAUUGUGUGAAAACUACAAUAACGAAACUCUUCAUUUUUAUACCAUAUAUAACAUAUUAACUUUAGUGUUCAUGCAAUGUUUGGGAGAAAUCUACCGUCCAGGUAUUUUUACGGGACCGUCUCAAAAUAUAGGUACAUUAACUAUAGGAUUAUAUAGGAAAGUGCCCAUUUUUAGCACUUUUAAUCAAAUUAUGCAAAAAUACUACAAUAGACUUUUUGUUCAGACUAUAAUAUAUGAUGAGUAAUACUAUGUUGUACAUUAUAUGUGAAACUCACAAAAUUCUACCGUCUUGUUAGCAGAGGGGGCAUCUCAAAAAGCCAAAAAUUUACGAAUUUAACUGUUUUUUAUAGCGUACUACAAAAUAUGACGGGAACAAAGGUAUUAUAUGAAAAAAUG